rnacentral:lncRNA from 10 species
GGAAAUGGUCCACAGAGUCAACUCAGCAUUUAUUCAUUUAUUCAUUCAGCAAUUCUGAGCACCUGCUCUGCUACCAAGCCGUCACUGUGCUGGGAGAUAGGGACAGAAUGGGAAGACAGACACCUGACUCGGACCCUACUCUCUUGGAAUUUACAGUCCAGAGGAGAGGACAACUAAACAAAUCUCACUCAAAAAAAUUUAUAAUUGCAAACAGAGUUUGCAUAUAUUAAAGAAAUGAAAUCUUCCCCGAGGAAGUGGCAUUUGAGCUAGAGCAAGACAGAAGGGGACUAGCUACAACAGCAAAACAAGCAAUAAAGUUAUAAAAUAGAUAAAUUGGACUUCAUCAAAAUUAAAAACUUUUAUGCUUCAAAGGACGCCAUCAAGAAAGUGAAAACAGGGCUGGGCUCAUUGGUUCAAGCCUAUAAUCCCAAUAAUUUGGGAGGCUGAGGUGGG